UGAGUUGUGGCUCAGUGGUAGAGCACUUACUUAGCAUGCAUGAGGCCCUGGGUUUAAUCUCUAGCACUGCAA
rnacentral:tRNA from 1 species